AUCCAGCUGACGAGUCUCAAAUAGGACGAAACGUGCUUCCUGGAU
rfam:Schistosoma rodhaini strain Burundi genome assembly, scaffold: SROB_scaffold0017112